rnacentral:piRNA from 1 species
UGGUCAGUUUCCACAUCAGAAUGGUCAC